GCAGAACGCGAAGAACCUUACCCAGGCUUGAACUGCUGAGAAAACCCUGUGAAAGCAGGGCUUCCUUCGGGAGCUCAGUAGAGGUGCUGCAUGGCUGUCGUCAGCUCGUGUCGUGAGAUGUUGGGUUAAGUCCCGCAACGAGCGCAACCCUCGUCUUUAGUUGCCAGCACGUAAUGGUGGGGACUCUAGAGAGACUGCCCCGGGUUAACGGGGAGGAAGGUGGGGACGACGUCAAGUCAUCAUGGCCCUUACGUCUGGGGCUACACACGUGCUACAAUGGCUGAGACAAUGCGUCGCUACUCCGCGAGGAGAUGCCAAUCGCACAAACUCGGCCCCAGUUCGGAUUGCAGUCUGCAACUCGACUGCAUGAAGCCGGAAUCGCUAGUAAUCGCUGAUCAGAACGCAGCGGUGAAUGAGUU
rnacentral:rRNA from 1 species